GAUGAACGCUGGCGGCGUGCCUAAUACAUGCAAGUCGAGCGAACGGACGAGAAGCUUGCUUUUCUGAGGUUAGCGGCGGACGGGUGAGUAACACGUGGAUAACCUACCUAUAAGACUGGGAUAACUUCGGGAAACCGGAGCUAAUACCGGAUAAUAUUUUGAACCGCACGGUUCAAAAGUUAAAGACGGUCUUGCUGUCACUUAUAGAUGGAUCCGCGCUGCAUUAGGUAGUUGGUAAGGUAACGGCUUACCAAGGCAACGAUGCAUAGCCGACCUGAGAGGGUGAUUGGACACACGGGAACAGAGACACGGUACAGACUCCGACGGGAGGAAGCAGUAGGGAAUCCUACGCGAUGGGGGAGAGCCGGACGGAGCAACGCGGCGUGGGUGAUGAACGUGCCAUGAUGGUAAAACUAUGUUAUUAGGGAAGAAGAAAUGUGUAUGUAGCUGUGAAGAUAAUGACGGUACCUAAUGAGAAAGCCACGGCUAACUACGUG
rnacentral:rRNA from 1 species